rnacentral:lncRNA from 1 species
GGAAUGCUUAUUGCUGCAGGGGAAAACUUACGCCGACUAAAUUCAAUCAGUAAUAUUCAGCAAAAGACAAGAUAAGGAUUGAACUUAUGAAUCCUAUUUUAGUUACCUAUAAUAGAAAAGAUAGCUAUUAUGGCAUCUCUAAAGGAAUACAACCCCUCCCCUUUAGAGAAUGGAAGAGUCCUGGAAGGAGAAACCAGGAAGAGAGUGCCGGUGAUGGCAUGUCAUGUGUCAGUUCACAUGCUGACACCAAUUUCACCACAAGCAACUGUUUUCUUCUCUUUUUAUUAUUCUAGAAUAUCUUGCUCGUGCAUAGACCAUGCCUAAAGCGAGUAAGAAAAGCGAUAUCUGGAUGAGAUGUCCGCAAUGUGUUCGACAAUUCAAUGCAGUGGAGGACCUGCAAGACCACGUUCAAAAUUCACAUCCCCCUCAGAAAGAGUGGGCUUGCCCCAAAUGCAACUAUACCGCCGAUCGCCAAAGUCACGUCACAAAACAUGACCGUAGAGUACAUAAGGAGAGACAGAUUCCUAGUAGUAAAUCAACUUCAGAGAUGACAACUCCCAUUCGUCCAGCAGUACAACGCACAAAUACUCCAGUGCCUGGAAAUGCAGAAAAGGAGAAAGGGCAACAGGAAGCUCGGUCGGAGACACCCUUGUCCACAAGUACGCAUUCACGUCCUGUGCUGUCGACUGGCACCGCUGAGGAUUUCACCGGUCCUACCGCUCGUUCAGUGAUAGCGAAUGCGAAAGAGGAGGUUGCACAGAGGUUGAAAUUAACCAGACGUUCUGAGAAAAGAAAGGGUCAACCCUACCGUCGUGUGAUUGAAACAGUUGUCUUCCCUGAUGGCAGGGUGUACACAACUGAGACCAAGGAGUUGAUAUAAUGCAGGACUUAAUUUGUACAGCUAGUUUUGUGAAUUCGAUUUUUUGUAUUGUUGUUUUUAAAGGUCUGCACGGUACCGUAGCUUGUAGUUGAUAUUUCACCAUGUUCUUUCCCCUGAAAGCAGGCGUUGUACAUAGUGUGAUCAGGCCCAAAAGAUUCGAUUGUUUUGUUGAUAAAUAAUGCCCCCUCCCCCCGAUGUUAUAGAAGACCACAGAGAGCACUUUCUUUCAGCAGGGAAAUAAUAUUUUACUUUUGCGGGUUUUACUCCAGCUAGGGAGUUUAUUUUGGAGUUAAAAGAGAACCUAGAAUAGGGGAUUAAUGCUUUCACCAUUAGUAGGUCCAUGCUUUCACUAUGCUUCCUGUAAUUUUAAUGCAGUUAUUUAUAGUUGUUUAUUAAAUCUUAAGUCUAUUUUCAGACGAUUCAAACAAUCAUUACAUAUAUUUAUUUGUCCUUGUGGGUUUUUGAGAGAACAUAAAACUGCUAUAGUUCAAUAUUUGCAUAGAGUUUUAUCUUGACUUAAGUAUUAUGUUUUGCGGAUGCACAAGUAAUUUGGAAUUGCUUGGUUAUUGAACGUAAAGGUUAUACAUAUAGUAGGAUUUAUUCUAUGCUUAACCUUUAGAUGAAAAGAUAAAUAAGUGCAUCACUUAUUUACCAGAAUUGCAACGCAUUUUUUCAAAAAUGGGAUAGUUACUUGAAUUUGUUGGAACUGCAAUUGAACCAUUUAUAUUACCAGUGAUAUACUUAGUUAUUAUGUGAGUUGUAUUGUCUAAACCAGGAAAAGUUUAGUUAGAAUGAACUAAAAUCGUAUUUCAUUUUAUUAUAUAGACAUUGUUUUAAGCUGUUUAUAAACUUAGAGUUUAGAUUAGGUUUUAUUAUUAGAGAAGAUCUAGCGCAUGCAGAUUGAUAUGUUAUGGCUUUAUCGUUCUAUUAAACCGAAGCAUGAAAAUGUGUUCGUGGUCGUCAUUUCUAUAUAUUGAUUACUUUAGUUAUGAUUAUUCUUUCUUAUUGAGAUGAUAUUAAGAUCGAGCAAUAGAAGUCAUUCUACAUGUUGACACCAAUUUCACCACAA